GAGGUUGGGGAUGGUGGGAAGGGACAGCAGGGAGAGGGAAGGGUAACACUUAGGAAGGUCUUUGUGGUGUUGAAAGAGUAUAUCUUGAUUGUGGUAGUGGUUACACAAAUAUACACGUGAUAAAAAGUAGAAGUAUACACAAUGUACAAGUGUCAAUUUCCUGAUUUUUAUACUAAACUAUACUUAUGUAAGUUGUACUUGUUGAGGGAAACUGGGGGAAGGGUAUUGUUUUUCCAACUUGCUGUGAGUUGAACUCAAAAUGAAAGGUAAAACAAGACCCUAAAAAACCAUGACCAAAUGCACUGUGUGAAACUGAUUUGGAAGAACAAAAUUAUGAAAUAUAUAUUUUAGGGUGGUUGGGAGAUUUUAAUAUGAUUGGAUAUUAGAUGAUAUUAGGGAAUUGUUAAUUUUCUUACCAUUAUGUAAUGGUGGUAUAACGUUUGGAGAAUAUUAUGAAAGAAUGCAUAUUGAAGUAUUUGGAAUGAAGUGUUUUGAUGUUUACAACUUUCAAAAAAUUUUUUUCAGUAUAUACAGAGAGAUAAGGCAAACGUAGGCAAGUGUUGAGUCCAGAUGGAGGAUACAGGUACUCAUUGUACCAUUCUUUAAACUUUUCUGUACUGUUGAUAUUUUCAAAAUAAAACGUUUGGGGCAAAAUUAUCAGGGCGUUCUACAGACGAGUGCUUUGUAGCUUCAGGCUCCUGCGUACACGCCUCGCCCAACCACUGCCGAGCCAGGGGAUGUCCCCUUUCCUGAGGCUUUAGGGCCACAGUCCACCUGCACCCUCCUACGCACUUUUACUCCCAUCCCUGGUCCGCAGCGAUAUUGGACACCCAUCGAGAAGACAGCACCUCCGACAUUCCUAGAGAGGCCGGCCUGGGGACUUGGGAAGCCGGAAGCCCGUCUCCAGGCACUUCCUGUCCGGUCAUUGUUCUCGCACCGGUAGGCGCGGGGCGCAUGAUCUAGCCUAUGUUCUGCUGCAGAGCCCGCGAGCUCUGGCCGGGCCUUUCCGCGGUGCACGUAGACAGUAUCAUCCUGGCCCUGAGAAGAAACUCAAGAAGAAACUUAAAGAUUAGAUGGGGCUUGACCUCUGCUGGGAAGCCCCCAGCUAAAAGAGUUCCCCUCCUGAGCAGAGACGAUGACUGCAGAACUGAGAGAGGCCAUGGCCUUAGCCCCCUGGGGCUCAGUGACAGUGAAAAAGGAGGAGGAAGAGGAAGAAAACUUCCUAGGUCAGGCAUCUAGCCAACAAGUGCACUCGGAGAACAUCAAAGUCUGGGCUCCUGGGGAAAGUCCCCAGACAGGCCUUGUCAUAUCAGAACAGGAGGAAAAGGAUCCAAACAUGUUCUGGAACAUGGCUGUAGUCCUGAAAGCAACACAGGAGGCACCUCCUGCCUCAGCCCUUGGCACCUGCUCAUUAUCAGGGACUCUGGCCAAGAGUGAGACACUGGAGACACAUGGAAACAUGACCUCUCUAGGUGCUGAAACCAAGAACCCACAGUUACUGGUUCCAAAAACUGAGAUAUGUGAUGAAGCAGAAAAACCCUGCAUAAUGCCAGGAAGAAUCCAGAAAGUUAAUCCUCCAGAACCUGAGUUAGGAGAAGCCUGUGAAAAAGGGAACCUGUUAAAGAAGCAGAGAAUCAAGAGGGAAAAGAAAGAUUUCCGACAAGUGACGGUGAAGGACUGUCAUGUACCUGAAAGCUUCAAAGUAGAGGAAAACCAGAAAUGUCAGGAAUCUGGGGAAAGGUAUAGCCUUAGUUCUAGCUCUGUUAAAAAUCAGAAAAGCCAGCCUGGACAGAAGCCUUUUACAUGUAGUGUGUGUGGAAAAGGCUUUAGUCAGAGUGCAAACCUCGUAGUGCAUCAGCGAAUCCACACAGGGGAGAAGCCCUUUGAAUGUCAUGAAUGUGGGAAGGCCUUCAUUCAGAGUGCAAACCUUGUUGUGCAUCAGCGAAUCCACACUGGACAGAAGCCGUACGUUUGUUCAAAAUGUGGGAAAGCCUUCACUCAGAGUUCAAAUCUGACCGUACAUCAAAAAAUCCACUCCUUAGAAAAAACCUUUAAGUGCAGUGAAUGUGAGAAAGCCUUCAGUUAUAGCUCACAACUUGCUCGGCACCAGAAAGUCCACAUUACAGAAAAAUGCUAUGAAUGUAAUGAGUGUGGGAAAACAUUUACUCGGAGCUCAAACCUCAUUGUCCACCAGAGGAUCCACACUGGGGAGAAGCCCUUUGCCUGUAACGAUUGUGGCAAAGCCUUCACCCAGAGUGCAAACCUUAUUGUGCAUCAGCGAAGCCAUACUGGUGAGAAGCCAUAUGAGUGUAAAGAAUGUGGAAAAGCCUUUAGUUGUUUUUCGCACCUUAUUGUGCACCAGAGAAUUCACACUGCAGAGAAACCUUAUGAUUGCAGUGAGUGUGGAAAAGCCUUCAGUCAGCUCUCUUGCCUUAUUGUGCAUCAGAGGAUUCACAGUGGAGAUCUCCCUUAUGUGUGUAAUGAGUGUGGGAAGGCCUUCACGUGUAGCUCAUACCUGCUUAUUCAUCAGAGAAUUCAUAAUGGGGAGAAACCUUACACAUGCAAUGAGUGUGGCAAGGCCUUCCGGCAGAGGUCGAGUCUCACUGUGCACCAGAGAACCCACACUGGGGAGAAGCCCUACGAAUGUGCCAAGUGUGGUGCGGCUUUCAUUUCUAACUCGCACCUUAUGCGACACCACAGAACUCAUCUUGUUGAGUGACAAGUACUUGUUACUCCAGGCAUUGAUCAUAAUCCAUUGCCCCCUAAUUGGACACGUCUUUGCUGUUUUUGUUUGUAAAAAUGAGGCCCGCCAUGUUACAAGUAACAGUUUUCAAGAAUGCAGCACAGAACACAAGAUAAGCAUUUCAGAGGCUGACUUAAAGAAAGUGAAAGCAUCUAAAGGCAAGGACUGUGUUUUAAACUGUGCCCUCAGUAGUCCUGUUUGAAAUGGAAUGUGGCUUUCUUUAAAAUGGGUCAUGCAAAGCUAAGUGAUAAAGAUCCUGUUUGAGGAAAGGUAUUUUUAGCUUAAUUUUGUUUUUUGAGCCUGGUAAUUUCUUGAGCAACAGGCAGGUUGUUGGUAUAGGUCUGCCUGGUGCAAUUCUGGAGCUUUGAACCUUGUAUUCUAGUAUUUGGGUUAAGCAGUGAUUAAUUAAGGAAAUCACUUGGGGUAGCAAUUCAACAACAACUCACCUAUGAACAUUGAUUAGCUUUCCAUUCCUUAGGUAAUUUAAACAAAAAACACCCUAUUAACUGUCUCCUGGUCCUAAAAUGGAUAGAAGUAGGAAACAGCUGUUUCUCUUAUUAUCUGUGACUCGUGAACCUUGGUGUAAAGCUCUGGGGACCUCUGAUGAGUCUUUUCUUCCCAGUGUGCAGGGCCAAACACUGGAGGGUUGAUGGAGACAACACACUGGGGCCACAAAUGCGCUGGCCUGUAUUCAUUUGCUAAGAUCAACAACUCUAAGUGACCCUAACUCCCAUUGUACUCCCAUCGGAGUAAGAUGCCUGUAACACUCCCCAGAUAGAGGAGUCAAAGAAUAAAGCUUGCCGAGAGGCAUAGCCACGUUGUCUAUGCUCAUUCUGCUUAGGCUCAGCCAGGGGGCUCAAUUUGGGUGUUAUUCUCACUUUCUGGCUGGUCUUUAGAAGAACUAAUGGAGUCCUAAUUCUUUUUUUUUUUUUUUUUUAAAUUUUUUUUUUAAUGUUUAUUUAUUUUGGGGACAGAGAGAGACAGAGCAUGAAUGGGGGAGGGGCAGAGAGAGAGGGAGACACAGAAUUGGAAGCAGGCUCCAGGCUCUGAGCCAUCAGCCCAGAGCCUGACAUGGGGCUCGAACUCACGGACCGCGAGAUCGUGACCCGAGCUGAAGUCGGACGCUUAACCGACUGAGCCACCCAGGCGCCCCUGGAGUCCUAAUUCUGAGAGGGAGGAGGCAGAAUGGGACUCCUUAGGUCUUAAUUUGGUUUUUUUUUUUUUGAGAAGUUCAAAGGUAUUGGAAUAUGAAAACUUAGAAGGAUGAAGAAACUGGCUAAGAAGUGGAUGGGAACUCUGAAGCCCUGCUUCUUAAGUUGCCAAGAGCUAUCAAGGAGCCAGACCAGCUGAGCCAAGAAGUCUCAAAUGACACCAACAGUUAUGUAUCAGGUGGAGCACAGUGAUGUAAAAGUGAUAAUGAAAUCUUGUCUUUUGCGGGGCACAGGUGAGAGACUCUUCGUUGAGACACACACACAGACGCACACCCCUACGUCCCUCGAACAUUUGCCCGUGAAUUCCUCUAGGCUCAGGAAGAGGUGUUUGGGGCAAGGCUAAUAUUCUUCUAUGUUCUGGGUCCCCUCCCUUCCUUGCCUAGGUAGUUGUCCUCCCACAUCUGUCACUUCACUUGCUCCAUUCUGUGCUCAAUCUUUCACAGCCCCUUUGAGGAUCUAAUGGAGGUUGAAGAUACUCUUCCAGAGAAAUGCAGAUAGCACAUUCAGUUUUGCGCUCAUUUGUGGGGGUGCAGAUAGGCUUCCUAAGGCCAGUUAUUGGCUCCUUUAGGGUGUAAAGUCACACUUGGGAAUGCACUACAUAAUUGCCAUUGACUUUUAUUUUUAACUUAUUUUAUUCUUUUUAAAUGGGCUCUACACCCAGCAUGGAGCCCAACGUGGGGCUUGAACCCUGAAAUUAAGACCUGAGCUGAGAUCCAAGAUUCAGUCACUUAACUGAGUCACCCAAGUGCCCCAUUACCAGUGACAUUUUUUUUUUUUUAAUUUUUUUUUUUCAACAUUUAUUUAUUUUUGGGGCAGAGAGAGACAGAGCAUGAACGGGGGAGGGGCAGAGAGAGAGGGAGACACAGAAUGGGAAACAGGCUCCAGGCUCUGAGCCAUCAGCCCAGAGCCCGACGCGGGGCUCGAACUCCCGGACCGCGAGAUCGUGACCUGGCUGAAGUUGGACGCUUAACCGACUGCGCCACCCAGGCGCCCCACCAGUGACAUUUUUAAAAAAUGAGGUUGGGGGUGCCUGGGUGGCUCAGUCAGUUAAGCCUCUGAUUCCUGAUUUUGGCUCAGGUACUAAUCACAGUCAUGAGAUGGGGCUCUGUACUGGGCAUGGUGCCUGCUUAAGAUUCUCUUUCUCCCUCUGCCCCUUGCCCACUGGUGUAUGCUCUCAAAAAAAAAAAAAAAAAAAAAAAAAAGUCAGAAUCUCUCGAUGUUGCCCAACUUUUUAAAUCUUGCUUUUCCUGGAUUCCUCCUUCAACAGAUGGCAGCAUUAUGCAGCACCCCAACUGGAAACCCAUGAUAUUUCUGGUUUCCCACGUGUCAUUCUCUUAUUAUAACAGUACUUACUAUUCACUCUCUUUGUGGCAAACAUGGUGCUAGUUCCUGGAGUGCAGAGGCAGACAAGGUCUAUCAGAGCCUCUUCUGAUGUCUCCUCAGAAACCUCUGGAUUCCUUCACAUGAUUUAUUAAGCUCUUCACUUCCCAUGCACCUUUUACUGCAACCUGGAGGCAUGUGCUUGCUCUUCGGUGUGCCUUUGCUUACACUGUCCCCGGUGCUUAUUACUACCACUUCCUACCCUACCUCUGUCUACUUUACCGAACUUUAGGUUUCUUUUACAUUGAUUCCAGUCCCAUCUCUGAGAGCCCUCUGACUCCCCUACAGCAAGGAUACAUUUAGAAGUACAAAGAGCAUAUGAUAUGUAUCCACUCUGUGUUUUAAAGUGAAAAAAAACAGCAACCCUGGAUUCAUAAUUAUGUAUAUAGUACAGUUCUCAUUUGAUGUUAUGUAUACUAUUGUAACAUACAUAUGCUAUUAAAUAAUAAAUAAAUUACCUGAAUGAAAUAUAAGAAAAUGAUAUAAGUGGUUAAGUGGCUUGUUCACAGCCAUACAGAUAGUAACUUGCAGGGCUUAGCCUCAAACCUGGUCCAUAUAGAUUAUAAAAUUAUGGGUGGUUAAAAAUCUUUUUUUUUUCUUUUUAACUAAUUUCCAUGUUUUCUACAAGGAACAAGAAUUUUAUAAUCAGAAAAAAAUUAUUAUAUUUACAUAUUUAGUUUGAAUGUAUUAACUAUAAACAGUACUUCAUUUCCGUAUUUAAGGUGUGGGAUAUGCCCUGCCAUUUCUUUCUCUUUCCAUUCUCAUGUCUUUGCCUCUGACAAUGUCAAGUCUGAUAAUUCUUGAACUCUAUUCUGUCUUCUAUGCUUUGUUUAUUGAUUUAUUUCAAAGGUUUAAAAUAAACAGCAUGAAUGUUA